rnacentral:rRNA from 1 species
GACGUAGGGCGCGAGCGUUGUCCGGAUUUAUUGGGCGUAAAGAGCUCGUAGGCGGCUCGUUGCGUCGGCUGUGAAAACCCGCAGCUCAACUGUGGGCUCGCAGCUGAUACGGGCGGGCUGGAGUUCGGUAGGGGAGACUGGAAUUCCUGGUGUAGCGGUGAAAUGCGCAGAUAUCAGGAGGAACACCGGUGGCGAAGGCGGGUCUCUGGGCCGAUACUGACGCUGAGGAGCGAAAGCGUGGGGAGCGAACAGG